AGUGAACGCUGGCGGUAGGCCUAACACAUGCAAGUCGAACGGCAGCACAGUAAGAGCUUGCUCUUACGGGUGGCGAGUGGCGGACGGGUGAGGAAUACAUCGGAAUCUACUUUUUCGUGGGGGAUAACGUAGGGAAACUUACGCUAAUACCGCAUACGACCUACGGGCGAAAGCAGGGGAUCUUCGGACCUUGCGCGAUUGAAUGAGCCGAUGUCGGAUUAGCUAGUUGGCGGGGUAAAGGCCCACCAAGGCGACGAUCCGUAGCUGGUCUGAGAGGAUGAUCAGCCACACUGGAACUGAGACACGGUCCAGACUCCUACGGGAGGCAGCAGUGGGGAAUAUUGGACAAUGGGCGCAAGCCUGAUCCAGCCAUACCGCGUGGGUGAAGAAGGCCUUCGGGUUGUAAAGCCCUUUUGUUGGGAAAGAAAGGCAGCAGGUUAAUACCCCGCUGUUCUGACGGUACCCAAAGAAUAAGCACCGGCUAACUUCGUG
rnacentral:rRNA from 1 species